AAAGCAGCAGGAUGUGUUCUGCCUCACUGAAAAAGUUCUAGGAGCCAGCAGUUCAAAAUGAGCCUCAAAAAAAAAAAAAAAAUGAGCCUCAAUGACUGGAAGCAACAUGUCACAGAGCGAUGAUGCAUCAGCCCCUUGCCUUUCCCAGCUUCAGGGAGUACCAACUGCUUAUGACCAAGCACUGAAGCCUCUGCCUCCAUAAUCAUAUGACCUUCUCCUCUUCUGUAUCUCACAAUGUGAAGCCUCGAGGACACAUAUUUUCAUCUCGUCCCAAGCCUCACAAAUUACCAAACAACUCUGGCUGCAGCUUGCCCCUUGCCAAAGCCAGCGCUGCCAGCUUGUGGCUGACCCCGAAGCUACCGGCAGAGCUCAUUCUCACAAUACUGUGACUUUCCAUGAGUGGCCCGUGGUGACUCACGACUCAGGACUGUACAUUCCUCACUUGUCUGAAUGCAAAGUAAGACUGGCUAUUUUUAUAGA